rnacentral:tRNA from 1 species
UGUUCUGUGGCUUAGAUGGUUAAAGCGCCGGUCUAGCAAAUUCGGAGUCGCUGGUUCAAAUCCACCAGGACGC